rnacentral:lncRNA from 1 species
CCAAUAUAAACCAUGCAAGAUGGAUUCCACACCACUGGCCUCGAACCAAAGAAAUCCCUCCAAUGAUUCAAGCCUUUGUGGCAAUCAUGACCACAUGGAUCAAUAGAUCGAAAUCGAAAUCUAAGUCCAAGUCAAUAUAGAGAAAAGAAAACCCUAAAUAGUAGGGGAAGUUGCCAGCUGAGAAAACCUAAUUGGGAAUUUUCU